rnacentral:rRNA from 1 species
UACGAAGGGGGCUAGCGUUGCUCGGAAUCACUGGGCGUAAAGCGCACGUAGGCGGACUCUUAAGUCGGGGGUGAAAUCCUGGAGCUCAACUCCAGAACUGCCUUUGAUACUGAGAAGCUUGAGUCCGGGAGAGGUGAGUGGAACUGCGAGUGUAGAGGUGAAAUUCGUAGAUAUUCGCAAGAACACCAGUGGCGAAGGCGGCUCACUGGCCCGGUACUGACGCUGAGGUGCGAAAGCGUGGGGAGCAAACAGG